ACAGGCGUAUCAUGCCGUGACGCAUCAUUCAUGUUUAAUUGAAACAUAAAAUAACCCCAAUGGCUUUAAUACGUAAUUAAGGCGUCCAGGCAGUUGGCCAUUUGUGGACUACCUCAGUAACAAAGCGGGACACAGAGAUUUUGCGGAUAAAGUUUAGGAAAUACUGUACAAGUAUCACCUAUGAAACUGCUGCUUGCUGUAGCGUUGUUAUUGGUUGUUUUGUACCACGUGAAUGCACAGGUCGGCGCCCCUUCAAAGGACCAGACUAACAGGGUUAACAACAUGAAUUAUUUGCGUGAAUUGAUGAUGGCGCGGAUGCGAGCCCAGCAACAACAGAAGCAAACCCCGCAAUGGCCACAGAGAAGACCUUUCGUGCCACGCCCAAGAUUUAUGCCAAUGAAUAAUCUAUUGGCGGGAGCAUACUUGGCUAAUAAUGAUGCCUUUGACGACAUGUUUGAUAGCUUUUAAGAGUUCGCUUUUUCUGUAGUUUUUUUUUUUUUUUGUUGUUGUAAGAUUGUGAAACAUCCAAACGAAACUUUUGCCAGUAUUCAAAACAGAAUUGCGUAUGAACUGAAAAAGUGGAGAAGAGUAACUCGUCAGGUUAUUCAGUGUAUGUUCAACUUUUAAUAGAAAUAGUCAAAACUUAAAA
rnacentral:lncRNA from 1 species